rnacentral:rRNA from 1 species
UUGGGGGAUUUUAAUGAAAUUUUAUACCCAUCGGAAAAAGAGGGUGGUAUGGCUAGACCACUUGGUAUGAUGAGAGAAUUCCGUGAAUGUCUAAUGGAUUGUGGGCUAGAGGACCUAGGCUAUAAGGGCGACCUGUUCACUUGGAAGAGAGGCGAAAUACGUGAACGUCUUGAUCGAGCGGUCUGUAAUAUAGCGUGGGCAAAAAAAUUCCCACGAGCGGCAGUGAUCAAUGAAGAACAAAAAUUCCCACGAGCGGCAGUGAUCAAUGAAGAACAUGUUCAUUCUGAUCAUCGCCCAAUUGUACUGGAUACAGAUUACUUAGAUGAAAAAUCUUUAAACAACCAGAGGGGCGUGUUAAACAAUUUGAGGCGAGGUGGUUGA